AAUAGAUACCCUGGUAGUCCACGCCCUAAACGAUGGACACUAGGCAUUGGCGGUUUCGACCCCCCCAGUGCCGAAGCUAACGCGUUAAGUGUCCCGCCUGGGGAGUACGAGCGCAAGCUUAAAACUCAAAGGAAUUGACGGGGACCCGCACAAGCGGUGGAGCAUGUGGUUUAAUUGGAUGGUAAGCCGGGCACCUCACCCAGAUUUGACAUCCUGCUGAAAGGCACUAGAAAUAGAGCCCCUCUUUUGACAGCAGAGACAGGUGCUGCACGGUUGUCGUCAGCUCGUGUUGUGAAAUGUACGGUUAAGUCCGAUAACGAGCGCAACCCCUAUUGCCAGUUAGAUAUGUCUGGCGAGACUGCCGUGGUUAACACGGAGGAAGGUGGGGAUGACGUCAAAUCAGCGUGGCCUUUAUAUCUGGGGCGACACACGUGCUACAAUGGGCAGGUCACAAUGGGAUGCCAAGCCGAAAGGCGGAGCCAAACCCAACAAAACUGUCCUAAGUUCGGAUUGAGGUCUGCAACUCGACCUC
rnacentral:rRNA from 1 species